GGAUCGAUGAUGAGUCCCCCAUCAAAACAUUCCUUGGAAAAGCUGAACAAAAUGAGUGAAACUCACAACCGUCUCACUCAUCGGAACUGAGGUCC